GAUUGGCCUGCAUGGGUUGAUCAGUAAAUGGGCGGGAUCCUUUGGGAUCGCCUGCUCGCAGAGGUGAUUGCGUCCCAUCAGCUAGUUGGUAGGGUAACGGCCUACCAAGGCGACGACGGGUAGCCGGCCUUAGAGGGUGGUCGGCCGCACUGGGACUGAGACACUGCCCAGACUCCUACGGGAGGCUGCAGUCGAGAAUCUUCCGCAAUGGGCGAAAGCCUGACGGAGCGACGCCGCGUGGAGGACGAAGGCCUUCGGGUUGUAAACUCCUGUCACGAGUUAAGAAGGUGUCACGACGAACAGUGGUGACAUUUGACGUAAGCUCGAGAGGAAGCACUGGCUAACUCUGUGCCAGCAGCCGCGGUAAUACAGAGAGUGCGAACGUUGUUCGGAAUUACUGGGCUUAAAGGGCGCGUAGGCGGGCAUCCAAGUCCGUGGUGAAAUCCGGCAGCUUAACUGUCGAACUGCCGCGGAUACUGGGUGUCUCGAGGGAGGUAGGGGCGUGCGGAACUAUUGGUGGAGCGGUGAAAUGCGUUGAUAUCAAUAGGAACUCCGGUGGCGAAGGCGGCACGCUGGACCUCUUCUGACGCUGAGGCGCG
rnacentral:rRNA from 1 species